CGAACGGGUGAGUAACGCGUUGGUGACCUACCCCAAAGCGGGGGAUAACAGCCUGAAAGGGUUGCUAAUACCGCAUAUAAUCUAGAGGGCUUAGAAGCUUUAGAUAAAAGGAGAAAUCCACUUUGGGAGGGGCCUGCGUCCCAUCAGCUAGUUGGUAGGGUAAAAGCCUACCAAGGCGAUGACGGGUAGGGGACCUGAGAGGGUGACCCCCCACAAUGGAACUGAAACACGGUCCAUACACCUACGGGUGGCAGCAGUAGGGAAUAUUGCACAAUGGGCGAAAGCCUGAUGCAGCAACGCCGCGUGAGUGAUGAAGGCCUUCGGGUUGUAAAACUCUUUUCAAGAGGAAGAGGAAGGACGGUACUCUUGGAAUAAGCCUCGGCUAACUACGUGCCAGCAGCCGCGGUAACACGUAGGAGGCGAGCGUUAUUCGGAUUUACUGGGCGUAAAGCGCGUGUAGGCGGCUCUAUAAGUUGGAUGUAAAAGCUCCCGGCUUAACUGGGAGAGGACGUUCAAAACUAUAGAGCUUGAGUACGAGAGAGGAAAAUGGAAUUCCGGGUGUAGUGGUGAAAUGCGUAGAUAUCCGGAGGAACACCAGUGGCGAAGGCGAUUUUCUGGCUCGAGACUGACGCUCAGACGCGAAAGCUAGGGUAGCAAACGGGAUUAGAGACCCCGGUAGUCCUAGCUGUAAACGAUGUAGACUAGGCGUUGGUGGAGUAAAAUCCAACAGUGCCGCAGCAAACGCGAUAAGUCUACCGCCUGGGGGACUACGGCCGCAAGGUUAAAACUCAAAGGAAUUGACGGGGCCCCGCACAAGCAGCGGAGCGUGUGGUUUAAUUCGAUGCUACACGAAGAACCUUACCAGGGUUUGACAUACAAGUAGUAGGGAAAGGAAACUGGACCGACCCUUCGGGGAGCUUGUACAGGUGCUGCAUGGCUGUCGUCAGCUCGUGUCGUGAGAUGUUCGGUUAAGUCCGCUAACGAGCGCAACCCUCGCUGUGUGUUACAAGUGUCACACGGAACUGCCGGUCAUAAACCGGAGGAAGGUGGGGAUGACGUCAAGUCAGCAUGGCCUUUAUAUCCUGGGCUACACACACGCUACAAUGGGAAAGGACAAUAGGUAGUGAAACCGCGAGGUGGAGCCAAUCCAGCAAAAUUUCCCUCAGUUCAGAUUGCAGGCUGCAACU
rnacentral:rRNA from 1 species